UAAAUCCAAUGUUAUUCAAACA
rnacentral:snRNA from 1 species